rnacentral:rRNA from 1 species
UCUUCGGCAAUGGGCGCAAGCCUGACCGAGCGACGCCGCGUGCGGGAUGAAGGCCUUCGGGUUGUAAACCGCUGUCGUAGAGGAGGAAGUGCAGGGGGGUUCUCCCCUCUGUUUGACCUAUUCUAGGAGGAAGGACGGGCUAAGUUCGUGCCAGCAGCCGCGGUAAGACGAACCGUCCAAACGUUACUCGGAAUUACUGGGCUUAAAGGGUGCGUAGGCUGCGCGGAAAGUCGGGUGUGAAAGCCCUCGGCUCAACUGGGGAAUUGCACUCGAAACUACCGUGCUCGAGGGAGACAGAGGUAAGCGGAACUCAAGGUGGAGCGGUGAAAUGCGUUGAUAUCUUGAGGAACACCGGUGGCGAAGGCGGCUUACUGGGUCUCUUCUGACGCUGAGGCACGAAAGCCAAGGUAGCAAACGGGAUUAGAUACCCCGGUAGUCUUGGCUGUAAACGAUGAGCACUUGUUUGAAGGGUCCUCCAUAGCCUUUCAGACGUAGCGAAAGUGUUAAGUGCUCCGCCUGGGGA